CACGGACUUAGAUAACAGGGAUUGGCAACACCACUCUCGUCUAGCGUAUGUAUUGUCCACCUCUUGUAUUUGUGCAUCGAACCGUGACGACUUGUAACCCUCUCGCUGAAGCCAAUUUACCUGUACUGCGCUUGCGUGUGACCUAACAGACAAGUUUCCGGUAUCGAUAACCACGUUGUUUACCUAGGUGAUGAGAGACCGAGAAUGUGACACUGAUUUGACAGAUCAGUACACAGUGUAACAACCAUGACUAAAACAAUAGAAAACGAAUGCAUACACGUGAUGAUGUCGCAAGCAUAUCUGUUCAUGUCAAGCAGCAUCAGCUAACCAAAAUGAAACUUGCUGUUCCAGGGACAGCUCCAGCACCAGUGUUCCUGUUGACAGCACCACUAGCUCAGAUCUGUUGUUCUUCAGG
rnacentral:lncRNA from 1 species